UUUCCGUAGGUGAACCUGCGGAAGGAUCAUUAAAAAAUUGGACUCCAUUGGUGAGUUCAUUAAUAAUCCCUACCCUUUGUGAAUUUGUUUGUUUGAAUAAUUUUUUUUCCAAAAAAAAUUAUUGAAUGUCUUUCCUUGUUUUGGUGGAGCUUGUAAAGUGAAACCAGGCAGGGGAAUGGCAAACAAUAAUUAUUUUUGAAAAAGACCUUUUUUUAAAAUUAAACUUUUUGUAUUCAUUUGUCUAAAAUUAAUUUUUAUAAUAUAAAAACAACUUUUGACAAUGGAUCUCUUGGUUCUCGCAACGAUGAAGAACGCAGCAAAAUGCGAUAAGUAGUGUGAAUUGCAGAAUACGUGAAUCAUCGAAUCUUCGAACGCAUAUUGCACUUUUUUAGUUUACUAAAAAAAGUAUGUCUGUUUGAGUAUCAGUAAAAUAUUCUCAUAAAAAACAUUGUUUUUUUUAUGGUUAUGAGUGUUUUACAACGAUAACAAGUUGUUUCACUUUAAAUUCUUUGUUAUCAAAAAAAUCAUUAAAAGCUAAUUUUAAAGAUUUUUUAAAAUUGGAUAAAAUUUUCCCGUAAAAAGGAAUAACCUAAACAAUUUUAAAAAAUUAAAAUUGGUUUGAUUUUUUUUUGAAACCCAAAGGAAAAAAAAAACGAAAUUAACUUGAUCUCAAAUCAGAUAAGAGUACCCGCUGAACUUAAGCAUAUCAAUAAGCGGAGGAAAAGAAACUAACUAGGAUUCCCUCAGUAACGGCGAGUGAAGCGGGAAGAGCUCAAAUUUGAAAUCUUCAAGGUUUUACCUUGACGAAUUGUAGUUUAAAGAAGUGUUUUCUGUUGGAGUUUUGGUAAAAGUUCUUUGGAAAAGGACAUCAUAGAGGGUGAGAAUCCCGUAUUUGACCAUUAUCUCCAGCUUUGUGAUACACUUUCAAAGAGUCGGAUUGUUUGGGAAUGCAGUCCAAAAUGGGUGGUAAAUUUCAUCUAAAGCUAAAUACUGGCGAGAGACCGAUAGCGAACAAGUACCGUGAGGGAAAGAUGAAAAGAACUUUGAAAAGAGAGUUAAACAGUACGUGAAAUUGUCAAAAGGGAAGCGUUUGACACCAGUGUUGUUCUCUCGAAAAUCAAUUAAAAAAGGCCGGAUUUUGUGUUGUAUUGACUUUAUCAGCUUUCUGCACUCUUUUCUUGUCUUUUUUAAUGCACUUUUCGUUUAACAAGUCAACAUCAAUUUCUUUUGUUGUAAAAGGGUCAUUGGAAGGUGGCUUUCCUUU
rnacentral:misc_RNA from 1 species